rnacentral:rRNA from 1 species
UACGUAGGGUGCGAGCGUUAAUCGGAAUUACUGGGCGUAAAGCGUGCGCAGGCGGUUUUGUAAGCCAGAUGUGAAAUCCCCGGGCUUAACCUGGGAAUGGCAUUUGGGACUGCAAGGCUUGAGUGCGGCAGAGGAGACUAGAAUUCCUGGUGUAGCAGUGAAAUGCGUAGAUAUUGGGAGGAACACCAGUGGCGAAGGCGGCUCACUGGACCGGAACUGACGCUGAGGCGCGAAAGCGUGGGGAGCAAACAGG